GCUUAUCACCAUUCUAGAUUGAAUAUACCCGAUCUCGUCUGAUCUCGGAAGUCAAGCAAUCUCGGGCGAAUACCAAGUGUGAUAAGCA
rnacentral:rRNA from 1 species